rnacentral:rRNA from 1 species
CCUACGGGAGGCUGCAGUAGGGAAUUUUCGGCAAUGGGGGGAACCCUGACCGAGCAACGCCGCGUGAAGGAAGAAGGAAUUCGUUCUGUAAACUUCUGUUAUAAAGGAAGAAAGACGGAUGGAGGAAAUGACAUCCGAGUGACGGUACUUGAUGAAUAAGCCACGGCUAACUACGUGCCAGCAGCCGCGGUAAUACGUAGGGGGCAAGCGUUAUCCGGAUUUACUGGGUGUAAAGGGCGUGUAGGCGGGACUGCAAGUCAGAUGUGAAAACCAUGGGCUCAACCCAUGGCCUGCAUUUGAAACUGUAGGUCUUGAGUGUUGGAGAGGCAGGCGGAAUUCCGUGUGUAGCGGUGAAAUGCGUAGAUAUACGGAGGAACACCAGUGGCGAAGGCGGCCUGCUGGACAAUAACUGACGCUGAGGCGCGAAAGCGUGGGGAGCAAACAGGAUUAGAUACCCUUGUAGUC